AGAGUUUCAUCCUGGCGCAGGAUGAACGCUGGCGGCGUGCCUAACACAUGCAAGUCGAACGAAGCACCUUACCUGAUUCUUCGGAUGAAGGUCUGGUGACUGAGUGGCGGACGGGUGAGUAACGCGUGGGUAACCUGCCCUGUACAGGGGGAUAACAGUUGGAAACGGCUGCUAAUACCGCAUAAGCGCACGAGAGGACAUCCUCUUGUGUGAAAAACUCCGGUGGUACAGGAUGGGCCCGCGUCUGAUUAGCUGGUUGGCAGGGUAACGGCCUACCAAGGCGACGAUCAGUAGCCGGUCUGAGAGGAAUGAACGGCCACAUUGGAACUGAGACACGGUCCAAACUCCUACGGGAGGCAGCAAGUGGGGAAUAUUGCACAAUGGGGGAAACCCUGAUGCAGCAACGCCGCGUGAGUGAAGAAGUAUUUCGGUAUGUAAAGCUCUAUCAGCAGGGAAGAUAAUGACGGUACCUGACUAAGAAGCUCCGGCUAAAUACGUGCCAGCAGCCGCGGUAAUACGUAUGGAGCAAGCGUUAUCCGGAUUUACUGGGUGUAAAGGGUGCGUAGGUGGCAGUGCAAGUCAGAUGUGAAAGGCCGGGGCUCAACCCCGGAGCUGCAUUUGAAACUGCAUAGCUGGAGUACAGGAGAGGCAGGCGGAAUUCCUAGUGUAGCGGUGAAAUGCGUAGAUAUUAGGAGGAACACCAGUGGCGAAGGCGGCCUGCUGGACUGUUACUGACACUGAGGCACGAAAGCGUGGGGAGCAAACAAGAUUAGAUACCCUGGUAGUCCACGCCGUAAACGAUGA
rnacentral:rRNA from 1 species